UACGUAGGGUGCAAGCGUUAAUCGGAAUUACUGGGCGUAAAGCGUGCGCAGGCGGUUCGCUAAGACAGAUGUGAAAUCCCCGGGCUUAACCUGGGAACUGCAUUUGUGACUGGCGGGCUAGAGUAUGGCAGAGGGGAGUGGAAUUCCGCGUGUAGCAGUGAAAUGCGUAGAUAUGCGGAGGAACACCGAUGGCGAAGGCAAUCCCCUGGACCUGUACUGACGCUCAUGCGACGAAAGCGUGGGGAGCAAACGAGGAUACGAAACCCCAGU
rnacentral:rRNA from 1 species